UUUACUGCAUCUUAGAGAUACUGAGUUUUAAGCAUUGAAUUUAUUAACCUUUUUGAUGUAUCAUACCACAAAUCUUAAAUUAAUUAGAUCAGAACUGGGGGACAAAAAGAUAAAUACGGUGAGCCAACUGUACAGAUCUAAGUGGGUGUACUAGCUGACUAGUAGUUUGGCUUGAUUGAAAAUAGAUUUUUAUUUCACUCAAGAUACUGUAUUAUUCUACAGAAAAAAACUUUGUUUCAUCUAACUAUUUAAAAUUGUGACCUUAGCCAAACACGUUUAUUUAAAAAUCUUACCACUAGACUGCUGCUAGGCUUCUGAUGUGCCAACACUAUCAGUGAUCCAUGCUGGGCCUAGCAAGUGUUUUUUUGUGCUUGCUUCCCCAACAUAUCCAUAAUGCACACUACAUCUUUGCCUCAAUGUAAACUUCUGAACUACUUGACUCUAAUCUAUUCCCAGCCUUAACAUAGCAGACUGUCCUCCAUGAAAGGUCCCCAUUCCCAGCUGUCCAGAGUCCUUGUAUCUCUGACUUCUCUGAUCACAAGGGGAGAUGUGAAGCACCUUGUCUCUUAAUUUUGCAGUCUAUGACAACUGUGGUUUCAGAUGAAGUUUCUAUUGUUAGAAUGCUUGUUAUGUUCUGAUGGUUACUUGAGGAGGUGUUGAAUAUGUUUCCCUGCCUCCAUAUGCCCUUCUGCUGUCUUGCCCAUCUCCUUGACUCCACUUCAGUAAUAAAGUUGUCUGUGACUGCAGCAUCACUGCAUAAGCUCAGGUUUGAAAUCUACUAAAGAUUGAAGAAGUACCUUGGUGCUUGGGACUCAACGUUGCUUCAGAAAUAAAUGUGAGUAAAGACUGAUGCCAUGAAGCAGCAUGCAUCAGAGGACUGGGACAUCCUUCACACCAGCAACCCACUAACAGACUAUGGGCUUCUGAAUGGACUCAACCUGAAUUCUGAAUGUGCUCGGAUGAGGAAAAGAACCAACAUAUCAUGAAAUUAUGGAAAGAUCUUACAGGUGGGCAAUUCGUUACCUGAUGAUUUGCCUUCACCAAGUAAGCUCCUGUGCUGUGACACAUCUGGGCCUCUUCUGGCACUGAAGAUGCGUGCUCCUCUGAGAAAAAAAACUCAAUUAAGUAGUACUAAGACUAUGGGCUUCUGAAUGGACUCAACCUGAAUUCUGAAUGUGCUCGGAUGAGGAAAAGAACCAACAUAUCAUGAAAUUAUGGAAAGCUCUUACAGGUGGGCAAUUCGUUACCUGAUGAUUUGCCUUCACCAAGUAAGCUCCUGUACUGUGACACAUCUGGGCCUUUUCUGGCACUGAAGAUGCGUGCUCCUCUGAGAAAAAAAAAACUCAAUUAAGUAGUACUAAGUCUCCAUAGAGGAUCCUGUUAGGGAAGCCUUUCCUACAGAUCCUUAUGCCUUCCAGGACACCGUUACAGCGCAGCUGGUGCAUCACCAGAGGGUUCUCCAUGGCCCCAGGAGUCUUGGUCUCGUUGGGGAUAAUGCAGCGUACAAAGUGAGGGUGGGUAGACCUCAGUAACAUUGCAGACAAGGGGGACAACAUCACAGAAGAUCCCGAAGGUCUUAGGAGGCCAUCACUGUUUCAUUCCUCAUCUAGCGCUUUCUGUGAUGAAGAAAGACAAAAAGGGAACAACAGGUGAUGGAUUAGUA